UGGGGAAUAUUGCACAAUGGGGGAAACCCUGAUGCAGCUAUGCCGCGUGUGUGAAGAAGGUCUUCGGAUUGUAAAGCACUUUCAGCAAGGAAGAAAGCAAAUAUGCUAACACCAUAUUUGUGUGACGUUACUUGCAGAAGAAGCACCGGCUAACUCCGUGCCAGCAGCCGCGGUAAUACGGAGGGUGCGAGCGUUAAUCGGAAUUACUGGGCGUAAAGCGUACGCAGGCGGUUUAUUAAGUCAGAUGUGAAAUCCCUGGGCUCAACCUAGGAACUGCAUUUGAAACUAAUAAACUAGAGUAUCGUAGAGGGAGGUAGAAUUCCAGGUGUAGCGGUGAAAUGCGUAGAUAUCUGGAGGAAUACCAGUGGCGAAGGCGACCUCCUGGACGAUAACUGACGCUCAUGUACGAAAGCGUGGGGAGCAAACA
rnacentral:rRNA from 1 species